rnacentral:rRNA from 1 species
GGCAACGACGGGUACCGGGCGUGAGAGCGUGACCCGGCACAUCGGAACUGAGAUACGGUCCGGACACCUACGGGUGGCUGCAGCAACGAAUAUUCCGCAAUGGACGCAAGUCUGACGGAGCGACGCCGCGUGCAGGAUGAAGUCCCUCGGGAUGUAAACUGCUGUCAGGGGUGAGGAAAACAUUGACCAACCCCAGAGGAAGCAUCGGCUAACUCCGUGCCAGCAGCCGCGGUAAUACGGAGGAUGCAAGCGUUGUUCGGAAUCACUGGGCUUAAAGAGCGUGUAGGUGGAAUAUCAGGCGUCGGGUGAAAUCCCUCGGCUCAACCGAGGAACUGCCUGGCGAACCGGUAUUCUUGAGGCAGGUAGAGGUGGCUGGAACGACUGGUGGAGCGGUGAAAUGCGUAGAUAUCAGUUGGAACGCCGGCGGCGAAAGCGAGCCACUGGGCCUGUCCUGACACUGAGACGCGAAAGCGUGGGGAGCAAACAGGAUUAGAUACCCU